rnacentral:miRNA from 7 species
UCUGGCUGCUAUGGCCCCCUC